rnacentral:sRNA from 1 species
GGUUUUAACCCAGUAUCACAAGGUACUAAGGGCUCUGACCUACCAUUCCCGGUUGCGUCAAAAACCUCAAUUUUUGGACCGCCUUUCCGGGGAUAGCCGGGAGGGCAAA